rnacentral:sRNA from 1 species
AAGCUGCCUGCUCCACUGAAGAGGACAAUCUUCCCCUGGUACAUGAGGAUCAGUAUUUGAUCAAAGUAUCUGUUUCAUGAUCACAAGGCAUUGGAAUAAGCUUUUAGCCAGAAAAUUCCAGCCAAUAAAGUGUCACCGUGAGAGCCGCUUAGACAAGACUGAAAAUCUACAAGAUGACAUCAGUUAAUACAGGAAGACAGCUGAAAAUGUGGCGCAUUCAUAGAGAAGGCGAGUUGGAGAAUUUUAUGCUUGAGAAGAAGAUAAAGAAUCUCUAUGGAUGUUUGAAUUUUGGAAAGAGACUACAUGCAUGAAGAAUAACGUAUAGUAGAAAUGAAUAAAACAAGAUCAAACUACUGUCAUCCAUGUAGACUGUAAGUCAGAUGGCUUUGUCUUCGUAGUUUUAUUUUUCAAACAUUCACUUGUAUUAUUUUCAUAGAACUAUUUUAACAGAAUUUCUCAUUCUCCCAACUUUUACAAGUCCACUAAGGACACAGGUGACACGUGCUACUUUAUCACAUGCUCUGAUUUCCCUGAAAUCCUUCAAAAUAACAGACAUUGAAUAACUAUUUUUAAGAAUGAUUUAUAAUCCAAACCAAUCUAGACUUCAUGUAACAUGUUGCAGUUACAAAAUGAUUAAGAUCAGUGCCAAAAUAUAAAUUUCUCAUAGUGCCACCUGCAAAUUUGUCUAAAGAAAUCAAUAAAUAUGUAUGCAUGGUCAUGUCAGAAUGC